rnacentral:rRNA from 2 species
ACUUAAAUUGAAGAGUUUGAUCAUGGCUCAGAUUGAACGCUGGCGGCAGGCCUAACACAUGCAAGUCGAGCGGUAGCACAGAGAGCUUGCUCUCGGGUGACGAGCGGCGGACGGGUGAGUAAUGUCUGGGAAACUGCCUGAUGGAGGGGGAUAACUAC